AUUGAACGCUGGCGGCAGGCCUAACACAUGCAAGUCGAACGGUAGCACAGAGAGCUUGCUCUCGGGUGGCGAGUGGCGGACGGGUGAGUAAUGUCUGGGAAACUGCCCGAUGGAGGGGGAUAACUACUGGAAACGGUAGCUAAUACCGCAUAACGUCGCAAGACCAAAGUGGGGGACCUUCGGGCCUCACACCAUCGGAUGUGCCCAGAUGGGAUUAGCUAGUAGGUGGGGUAAUGGCUCACCUAGGCGACGAUCCCUAGCUGGUCUGAGAGGAUGACCAGCCACACUGGAACUGGGACACGGUCCAGACUCCUACGGGAGGCAGCAGUGGGGAAUAUUGCACAAUGGGCGCAAGCCUGAUGCAGCCAUGCCGCGUGUAUGAAGAAGGCCUUCGGGUUGUAAAGUACUUUCAGCGGGGAGGAAGGCGGUGAAGUUAAUAGCUUCACCGAUUGACGUUACCCGCAGAAGAAGCACCGGCUAACUCCGUGCCAGCCGCCGCAGUAA
rnacentral:rRNA from 1 species